rnacentral:rRNA from 1 species
GACGAACGCUGGCGGCGUGCUUCACACAUGCAAGUCGAACGGGGAUAGAGCGCAGGCUUGCCUUUGCUCUAUUCUAGUGGCGGACGGGUGAGUAACACGUGAGCAACCUGCCCGACAUUCUGGGAUAACAGCGGGAAACCGUUGCUAAUACCGGAUACACCAGUUUUAGCGCAUGUUAGAACUGGGAAAGGGUUUACCGAUGUCGGAUGGGCUCGCGACCCAUUAGCUUGUUGGUGGGGUAACGGCCUACCAAGGCUGCGAUGGGUAGCUGGUCUGAGAGGACGAUCAGCCACACUGGAACUGAGACACGGUCCAGACUCCUACGGGAGGCAGCAGUGGGGAAUAUUGCACAAUGGGCGAAAGCCUGAUGCAGCGACGCCGCGUGGAGGAUGAAGGCCUUCGGGUCGUAAACUCCUGUCUGGGGGGAUGAAUUUUUGACAGUACCCCCGGAGGAAGCCCCGGCUAACUACGUG